rnacentral:rRNA from 1 species
UGCAGUCGAGCGGUAGCACAGAGAGCUUGCUCUCGGGUGACGAGCGGCGGACGGGUGAGUAAUGUCUGGGAAACUGCCUGAUGGAGGGGGAUAACUACUGGAAACGGUAGCUAAUACCGCAUAACGUCGCAAGACCAAAGUGGGGGACCUUCGGGCCUCAUGCCAUCAGAUGUGCCCAGAUGGGAUUAGCUAGUAGGUGGGGUAACGGCUCACCUAGGCGACGAUCCCUAGCUGGUCUGAGAGGAUGACCAGCCACACUGGAACUGAGACACGGUCCAGACUCCUACGGGAGGCAGCAGUGGGGAAUAUUGCACAAUGGGCGCAAGCCUGAUGCAGCCAUGCCGCGUGUAUGAAGAAGGCCUUCGGGUUGUAAAGUACUUUCAGCGGGGAGGAAGGCGAUAAGGUUAAUAACCUUGUCGAUUGACGUUACCCGCAGAAGAAGCACCGGCUAACUCCGUGCCAGCAGCCGCGGUAAUACGGAGGGUGCAAGCGUUAAUCGGAAUUACUGGGCGUAAAGCGCACGCAGGCGGUCUGUCAAGUCGGAUGUGAAAUCCCCGGGCUCAACCUGGGAACUGCAUUCGAAACUGGCAGGCUAGAGUCUUGUAGAGGGGGGUAGAAUUCCAGGUGUAGCGGUGAAAUGCGUAGAGAUCUGGAGGAAUACCGGUGGCGAAGGCGGCCCCCUGGACAAAGACUGACGCUCAGGUGCGAAAGCGUGGGGAGCAAACAGGAUUAGAUACCCUGGUAGUCCACGCCGUAAACGAUGUCGAUUUGGAGGUUGUGCCCUUGAGGCGUGGCUUCCGGAGCUAACGCGUUAAAUCGACCGCCUGGGGAGUACGGCCGCAAGGUUAAAACUCAAAUGAAUUGACGGGGGCCCGCACAAGCGGUGGAGCAUGUGGUUUAAUUCGAUGCAACGCGAAGAACCUUACCUGGUCUUGACAUCCACAGAACUUAGCAGAGAUGGUUUGGUGCCUUCGGGAACUGUGAGACAGGUGCUGCAUGGCUGUCGUCAGCUCGUGUUGUGAAAUGUUGGGUUAAGUCCCGCAACGAGCGCAACCCUUAUCCUUUGUUGCCAGCGGUUCGGCCGGGAACUCAAAGGAGACUGCCAGUGAUAAACUGGAGGAAGGUGGGGAUGACGUCAAGUCAUCAUGGCCCUUACGACCAGGGCUACACACGUGCUACAAUGGCAUAUACAAAGAGAAGCGACCUCGCGAGAGCAAGCGGACCUCAUAAAGUAUGUCGUAGUCCGGAUUGGAGUCUGCAACUCGACUCCAUGAAGUCGGAAUCGCUAGUAAUCGUAGAUCAGAAUGCUACGGUGAAUACGUUCCCGGGCCUUGUACACACCGCCCGUCACACCAUGGGAGUGGGUUGCAAAAGAAGUAGGUAGCUUAACCUUCGGGAGGGCGCUACCACU